ACACUCCUACGGGAGGCAGCAGUGGGGAAUAUUGGACAAUGGGCGCAAGCCUGAUCCAGCCAUGCCGCGUGAGUGAUGAAGGCCCUAGGGUUGUAAAGCUCUUUCACCGGUGAAGAUAAUGACGGUAACCGGAGAAGAAGCCCCGGCUAACUUCGUGCCAGCAGCCGCGGUAAUACGAAGGGGGCUAGCGUUGUUCGGAUUUACUGGGCGUAAAGCGCACGUAGGCGGACUAUUAAGUCAGGGGUGAAAUCCCGGGGCUCAACCCCGGAACUGCCUUUGAUACUGGUAGGCUUGAGUUCGAGAGAGGUGAGUGGAAUUCCGAGUGUAGAGGUGAAAUUCGUAGAUAUUCGGAGGAACACCAGUGGCGAAGGCGGCUCACUGGCUCGAUACUGACGCUGAGGUGCGAAAGCGUGGGGAGCAAACAGGAUUAGAAACCCCUGUAGUCCCAUGA
rnacentral:rRNA from 1 species